rnacentral:lncRNA from 1 species
AACAAAACUUGAAAUCAAGGCUUCUUCUUCUUCAAACAAGGAGAAGGCAGUGACUAUGUUGACAGCAGCUGCAAUGACAACAUCAAUGAUGGUCCCUGAAAUAGCUCAAGCAGCUGAUGGGGUUACCCCUUCUCUCAAGAACUUCUUGCUUAGCAUUGCUGCUGGCGGUGUUGUGCUUGUCGCCAUUAUUGGAGCUGUCAUUGGUGUCUCUAACUUUGACCCUGUUAAGCGAAGCUGAGGCCAUUUAAAUUGUUUACAUGCUGUGAUAUUUACUUACCUCCUUAGUUUAUUCAUCUAUUUUUUUAUGUUUCCAGUUAUAAAUUUG